rnacentral:rRNA from 1 species
UACGUAGGGUGCAAGCGUUAAUCGGAAUUACUGGGCGUAAAGCGUGCGCAGGCGGUGAUGUAAGACAGGUGUGAAAUCCCCGGGCUUAACCUGGGAACUGCAUUGGUGACUGCAUUGCUGGAGUAUGGCAGAGGGGGGUGGAAUUCCACGUGUAGCAGUGAAAUGCGUAGAGAUGUGGAGGAACACCGAUGGCGAAGGCAGCCCCCUGGGCCAAUACUGACGCUCAUGCACGAAAGCGUGGGGAGCAAACAGG